rnacentral:rRNA from 1 species
CCUACGGGGGGCAGCAGUGGGGAAUAUUGCACAAUGGGCGCAAGCCUGAUGCAGCCAUGCCGCGUGUGUGAAGAAGGCCUUCGGGUUGUAAAGCACUUUCAGCGGGGAGGAAGGCGUUAAGGUUAAUAACCUUGGCGAUUGACGUUACCCGCAGAAGAAGCACCGGCUAACUCCGUGCCAGCAGCCGCGGUAAUACGGAGGGUGCAAGCGUUAAUCGGAAUUACUGGGCGUAAAGCGCACGCAGGCGGUCUGUCAAGUCGGAUGUGAAAUCCCCGGGCUCAACCUGGGAACUGCAUUCGAAACUGGCAGGCUAGAGUCUUGUAGAGGGGGGUAGAAUUCCAGGUGUAGCGGUGAAAUGCGUAGAGAUCUGGAGGAAUACCGGUGGCGAAGGCGGCCCCCUGGACAAAGACUGACGCUCAGGUGCGAAAGCGUGGGGAGCAAACGGGAUUAGAUACCCGGGUAGUC